GGCAUGCCUAAGACAUGCAAGUCGAACGAGGUGGCCCAGAAAUAUUAAUGAAGCAUGAAGUGCUUGCACGGAUUGUGGAAUUAUUUGGCUCUGGAUUCUCCACCUAGUGGCAAACGGGUGAGUAACACGUGGGUUACCUACCUCCAAGUUGGGGAUAACAGUUGGAAACGACUGAUAAUACCGAAUGUGCUCUACGGAGUAAAGAAGCCCUUAAAGCUUCGCUUAGAGAUGGGCCUGCGGCGUAUUAGCUAGUUGGUGGGAUAACGGCCUACCAAGGCAACGAUGCGUAGCCGAACUGAGAGGUUAAUCGGCCACACUGGGACUGAGACACGGCCCAGACUCCUACGGGAGACAGCAGUUAGGAAUAUUCGUCAAUGGGGGAAACCCUGAACGAGCAAUGCCGCGUGAACGAUGAAGGCCCUAUGGGUUGUAAAGUUCUGUUGUUUGGAAAGAACUGUAAGAAUAGGAAAUGAUUCUUACUUGACGGUACCAUUCAAGAAAGCCACGGCUAACUACGUGCC
rnacentral:rRNA from 1 species